UACGUAGGGGCAAGCGUUAUCCGGAAUUACUGGGCGUAAAGCGCACGCAGGCGGUUCGCCAAGUUUGGAGUGACAGUUGUCGGCUCAACCGACAAAGGACUUCAAAACUGGUGAACUUGAGGACGAGAGAGGAACAUGGAACUCCAGGUGUAGUAGUGAAAUGCGUAGAUAUCUGGAAGAACACCAAUGGCGAAGGCAAUGUUCUGGCUCGUUUCUGACGCUCAGGUGCGAAAGCCAGGGAGCGGAACGGGAUUGAAGCAAACCCCGAGUACGUACCCAGACCAACGAUCUCUGCUACCCGUA
rnacentral:rRNA from 1 species